rnacentral:rRNA from 1 species
GGAGUUUGGGCCGUGUCUCAGUCCCAAUGUGGCCGGUCGCCCUCUCAGGCCGGCUACGGAUCAUCGCUUUGGUGGGCCGUUACCCCGCCAACUGGCUAAUCCGACGCGGAUCCAUCUCACACCGAUAAAUCUUUCCUCCCUGUACCAUGCGGUACUGUGAGCAUAUGCGGUAUUAACAGUCGUUUCCAGCUGUUAUCCCCCAGUGUGAGGCAGGUUAUCCACGCGUUCCU